AUUGAACGCUGGCGGCAGGCCUAACACAUGCAAGUCGAGCGAGCGGCGGACGGGUGAGUAAUGUCCGGGAAACUGCCUGAUGGAGGGGGAUAACUACUGGAAACGGUAGCUAAUACCGCAUACCAUCAGAUGUGCCCAGAUGGGAUUAGCUAGUAGGUGGGGUAACGGCUCACCUAGGCGGCGAUCCCUAGCUGGUCUGAGAGGAUGACCAGCAAAACUGGAACUGAGAAACGGUCCAGACUCCAACGGGGGGAAGCGGUGGGGAAUAUUGCACAAUGGGGGAAAGCCUGAUGCAGAAAUGCGGCGUGUGUGAAGAAGGCCUUCGGGUUGUAAAGCACUUUCAGCGGGGAGGCGUUACCCGCAGAAGAAGCACCGGCUAACUCCGUGCCAGCAGCCGCGGUAAUUC
rnacentral:rRNA from 1 species